AUGGCUAUUGCACAAAACAAACAUGUCUUACUAGUGAUUCUUUUUCUCCUAUGUUUCAUCUCUAUCCAAGCUAGAGCAAGAAUACUGAAGGAAAAAAGCAAUGAUGUAGUGAGUAUUUCUCAUAAUAAAGAAGCACAAGAUCAUGUGUUUAAGGCUAAAGAAGAACAUAAUAAUGGAGAUGAA